rnacentral:rRNA from 1 species
AUUGAACGCUGGCGGCAUGCUCUACACAUGCAAGUCGAACGGUAACAGGCUGCUAGGUUCUGAUGCGUGGCGGACGGGCGGGUAAUGCAUCGGAACGUGCCCAGCCGUGGGGGAUAGCUUCUCUUCAGAGAAGCUAAUACCACAUCCGAUCUAUGGUUGAGAGCGGGGGACGGGAAUGCCUCGCGCGGUUGGAGGGGGCGGUGUCAGAGUAGGUAGUUGUUGGGGUAAAGGCUCACCAAGACCACGAUCUGUACCUGAUCUGAGUGGGCGAUGGUCCACAUGAGGAGUGGAACACGGCCAAUAGUCCUACGGGAGGCAGCAGUGGGGAAUUUUGGGCAAUAGGCGCAAGCCUGAUCCAGCAAGGGGGCGUGUAGGACGACGGCGUUCGGGUUGGGAUGUGGUUUUGUACGGAGCGAACCGGCUCUGGUUAAGACCAAGCGUUAAUGACGGUACCGUAUGAAGAAGCACCGGCUAACUACGUG